AAACCAACCGGGAUUGCCUUAGUAACGGCGAGUGAAGCGGCAAAAGCUCAAAUUUGAAAUCUGGUACCUUCGGUGCCCGAGUUGUAAUUUGGAGAGGGCAACUUUGGGGCCGUUCCUUGUCUAUGUUCCUUGGAACAGGACGUCAUAGAGGGUGAGAAUCCCGUGUGGCGAGGAGUGCGGUUCUUUGUAAAGUGCCCUCGAAGAGUCGAGUUGUUUGGGAAUGCAGCUCUAAGUGGGUGGUAAAUUCCAUCUAAAGCUAAAUAUUGGCGAGAGACCGAUAGCGAACAAGUACAGUGAUGGAAAGAUGAAAAGAACUUUGAAAAGAGAGUGAAAAAGUACGUGAAAUUGUUGAAAGGGAAGGGCAUUUGAUCAGACAUGGUGUUUUGUGCCCUCUGCUCCUUGUGGGUAGGGGAAUCUCGCAUUUCACUGGGCCAGCAUCAGUUUUGGUGGCAGGAUAAAUCCAUAGGAAUGUAGCUUGCCUCGGUAAGUAUUAUAGCCUGUUGGGAAUACUGCCAGCUGGGACUGAGGACUGCGACGUAAGUCAAGGAGGCGGCAAAUU
rnacentral:rRNA from 1 species